ACCCGGUCCACCGACGCCUGCCGAUCGACCCCUGCUGCUCAGUCCACCGAACAAGCUAAUGUCACCCAAGGGUAGUCGUGUAGUGAGCUAAGCUACCUUUCAUCAUGCCGUUCAAAGUUAAAAGAAAUCUAAUCUUCUGGGUAUAAGGAAUAAAACGGACAGAAAGAUGAAAAUUACGAGCGAUUCAUAGAAAAAUCUAAAUCUAAUAACUAGAAUCAAUGCUCGCAUACCAAAAAAAGAAACGGUAC